ACGGGAGGCAGCAGUGGGGAAUAUUGCACAAUGGGCGAAAGCCUGAUGCAGCGACGCCGCGUGAGUGAAGAAGUAUUUCGGUAUGUAAAGCUCUAUCAGCAGGGAAGAAAAUGACGGUACCUGACUAAGAAGCCCCGGCUAACUACGUGCCAGCAGCCGCGGUAAUACGUAGGGGGCAAGCGUUAUCCGGAUUUACUGGGUGUAAAGGGAGCGUAGACGGUAAUGCAAGUCUGAAGUGAAAGCUCGGGGCUCAACUCCGGAAUUGCUUUGGAAACUGUGUUACUAGAGUGCAGGAGAGGCAAGUGGAAUUCCUAGUGUAGCGGUGAAAUGCGUAGAUAUUAGGAGGAACACCAGUGGCGAAGGCGGCUUGCUGGACUGUAACUGACGUUGAGGCUCGAAAGCGUGGGGAGCAAACAGGAUUAGAUACCCUGGUA
rnacentral:rRNA from 1 species